AGUGAACGCUGGCGGUAGGCCUAACACAUGCAAGUCGAACGGCAGCACAGUAAGAGCUUGCUCUUACGGGUGGCGAGUGGCGGACGGGUGAGGAAUACAUCGGAAUCUACUUUUUCGUGGGGGAUAACGUAGGGAAACUUACGCUAAUACCGCAUACGACCUACGGGUGAAAGCAGGGGAUCUUCGGACCUUGCGCGAUUGAAUGAGCCGAUGUCGGAUUAGCUAGUUGGCGGGGUAAAGGCCAACCAAGGCGACGAUCCGUAGCUGGUCUGAGAGGAUGAUCAGCCACACUGGAACUGAGACACGGUCCAGACUCCUACGGGAGGCAGCAGUGGGGAAUAUUGGACAAUGGGCGCAAGCCUGAUCCAGCCAUACCGCGUGAGUGAAGAAGGCCUUCGGGUUGUAAAGCCCUUUUGUUGGGAAAGAAAAGCAGCAGGUUAAUACCCCGCUGUUCUGACGGUACCCAAAGAAUAAGCACCGGCUAACUUCGUG
rnacentral:rRNA from 1 species